rnacentral:rRNA from 1 species
AACGAACGCUGGCGGCAUGCCUAACACAUGCAAGUCGAACGAGACCUUCGGGUCUAGUGGCGCACGGGUGCGUACCGCGUGGGAACCUGCCCUUAGGUUCGGAAUAACUCCCCGAAAGGGGUGCUAAUACCGGUUAAUGUCUUCGGACCAAAGAUUUAUCGCCUUUGGAUGGGCCCGCGUUGGAUUCGCUAGUUGGUAGGGUAAAAGCCUACCAAGGCGACGAUCCAUAGCUGGUCUGAGAGGAUGAUCAGCCACACUGGGACUGAGACACGGCCCAGACUCCUACGGGAGGCAGCAGUGGGGAAUAUUGGACAAUGGGCGAAAGCCUGAUCCAGCAAUGCCGCGUGAGUGAUGAAGGCCUUAGGGUUGUAAAGCUCUUUUACCCGGGAUGAUAAUGACAGUACCGGGAGAAUAAGCUCCGGCUAACUCCGUG